GGUGGAGAUGGAUACCCAGCUCCCUCAUUCCUCAGGAUGGCAGAUAAGGAAACAGCUUGUUGAAAUCCCCUUGGCUUGCUAAAUGGCAAAACGGGCUGAAACUGUUUGGAACCAAUAUAGCUGACUAGAAUCUGCACAGAAUAGACUUGCUUGCUGGAUGAGUGACCUUUUGACAUCAUAGCUGGAAUUUCCACCAUAUGUUUCAGACCAACUCCCCCUGCAUUUGCACAUGUGACUCAUGAAGAGGCAUGAAGAGACAACUGCAUACACCCUAGGGAUUUUACAAACUUCCCCCUUUCCUCCACCAAAUCACUCGCCAAUCCCGAAAUCCUCCUCCCAAAAUUUCUCCCCUCAGUAUACUGCUUUUAGGCUGGCAUGGGAGAUAGAUUUGAGUUAGCCUCCUGUCUCCUCAUUCGGUUGCUUUGCAGUAAACCUUUCUCUGCAAGAGACUGGUGCUGUGAUGUUGGGCUUUCCUUUGUGUGGGGGCAAAUGAACCCUAUUUGGUUUGGUCGCACUGGUGGAAUGAGUGUGUGGAUCAUUUUCAUGGCUGCGGUUUUUCAUUAAGUACCUGUGACUGAGUUCUUACAAUAGGGACAGUGACUUCCAAGCUAGAUUAUAGGGUUUUUGUAAAUCUACAAGUCAUUUGUUGCCAGCCUUUUUAAAAAAUAAAUACAUGAAUCAC
rnacentral:lncRNA from 10 species